CUGACAGUUAACAGUCAGGCAGAACCUUCGCCUGGUCGGGAUGGAUCUUCACAGUAGGUGAAGAAAAGAGUUGGAGGUGAAGAAACAAGACUAUACAGAAAGAAGAGAGGGACAGAACAAAUUGGUGGAAAAAAGUGACAUCUUAACUGGAGAAAAAAACCAACAUAAGCAAGGGAACCUUCAGCCACCCUGUUCUACAACCACUCCUGUGCGUAAUCAAGCACAGUUUUAUUUGACAGCAUACUUUCUCCUUCUGAGGUACAUAUAUAGCUGGCGGUACUAAUUUCAUUAAUACAGCAAUAUUUUGGUUUGACUCACAGCCUUUUAAAUUUUGGUCAUUUUUGCAAUGAGCUGUGUUGGAGAAGGUGUUCCUUGUGCGACUCAAAUAACAACCAUACAAACAAUUUGCAUUCCAAGGUCUUUUUAUUCUAGACAACUGUCUGUUAAGCACUGAUGCUGGGCAAGGAGCUCCUGCCAGACCAGCUUUUCCUAAGGACAACCAGCAAUAUGAAAUGCUGUGUGGUCCUUUCAUUAAGCUGUGGAUGACGUGAAGAACCCCAUGGUAAGAACCUAGGUGUCUUGGAAGAAUGUUGUGAGUCUUCCUGAACACUAACCAGACCAGACCUGCUGGAAAGGUGGAAAUGAAUAUUAGCAGCUGUUGGCAUG